rnacentral:rRNA from 1 species
CUACGGGUCGCAGCAGGCGAGAAAACUUUGCAAUGUGCGAAAGCACGACAAGGUUAAUCCGAGUGGUUUGUGCUAAACGAACCUUUUGACAGUCCUAGAAACACUGUUGAAUAAGGGGUGGGCAAGUUCUGGUGUCAGCCGCCGCGGUAAAACCAGCACCUCAAGUGGUCAGGAUGAUUAUUGGGCCUAAAGCAUCCGUAGCCGGCUCUGUAAGUUUUCGGUUAAAUCUGUACGCUCAACGUACAGGCUGCCGGGAAUACUGCAGAGCUAGGGAGUGGGAGAGGUAGACGGUACUCGGUAGGAAGGGGUAAUAUCCUUUGAUCUAUUGAUGACCACCUGUGGCGAAGGCGGUCUACCAGAACACGUCCGACGGUGAGGGAUGAAAGCUGGGGGAGCAAACCGGAUUAGAUACCCUUGUAGUC